AAGAGCUCGUAGGCGGUUUGUCGCGUCUGCCGUGAAAGUCCGGGGCUCAACUCCGGGAUCUGCGGUGGGUACGGGCAGGCUAGAGUGAUGUAGGGGAGACUGGAAUUCCUGGUGUAGCGGUGAAAUGCGCAGAUAUCAGGAGGAACACCGAUGGCGAAGGCAGGUCUCUGGGCAUUAACUGACGCUGAGGAGCGAAAGCAUGGGGAGCGAACAGGAUUAGAUACCCUGGUAGUCCAUGCCGUAAACGUUGGGCACUAGGUGUGGGGGACAUUCCACGUUUUCCGCGCCGUAGCUAACGCAUUAAGUGCCCCGCCUGGGGAGUACGGCCGCAAGGCUAAAACUCAAAGGAAUUGACGGGGGCCCGCACAAGCGGCGGAGCAUGCGGAUUAAUUCGAUGCAACGCGAAGAACCUUACCAAGGCUUGACAUGGACCGGAUCGCCGCAGAGAUGUGGUUUCUCCUUUUGGGGCCGGUUCACAGGUGGUGCAUGGUUGUCGUCAGCUCGUGUCGUGAGAUGUUGGGUUAAGUCCCGCAACGAGCGCAACCCUCGUUCCAUGUUGCCAGCGCGUUAUGGCGGGGACUCAUGGGAGACUGCCGGGGUCAACUCGGAGGAAGGUGGGGACGACGUCAAAUCAUCAUGCCCCUUAUGUCUUGGGCUUCACGCAUGCUACAAUGGCCGGUACAAAGGGUUGCGAUACUGUGAGGUGGAGCUAAUCCCAAAAAGCCGGUCUCAGUUCGGAUUGGGGUCUGCAACUCGACCCCAUGAAGUCGGAGUCGCUAGUAAUCGCAGAUCAGCAACGCUGCGGUGAAUACGUUCCCGGGCCUUGUACACACCGCCCGUCAAGUCACGAAAGUUGGUAACACCCGAA
rnacentral:rRNA from 1 species